CCUACGUGAGGCAGCAGUGGGGAAUAUUGCACAAUGGGGGAAACCCUGAUGCAGCGACGCCGCGUGAGUGAAGAAGUAAUUCGUUACGUAAAGCUCUAUCAGCAGGGAAGAAACACUGACCUUACGGUCAGCAGACGGUACCUGAGUAAGAAGCCCCGGCUAACUACGUGCCAGCAGCCGCGGUAAUACGUAGGGGGCAAGCGUUAUCCGGAUUUACUGGGUGUAAAGGGAGCGUAGACGGCAGCACAAGUCUGGAGUGAAAUCCCGGGGCUUAACCCCGGAACUGCUUUGGAAACUGUGCGGCUGGAGUGCAGGAGAGGUAAGCGGAAUGCCUAGUGUAGCGGUGAAAUGCGUAGAUAUUAGGAGGAACACCGGUGGCGAAGGCGGCUUACUGGACUGUAACUGACGUUGAGGCUCGAAAGCGUGGGGAGCAAACAGGAUUAGAUACCCUAGUAGUC
rnacentral:rRNA from 1 species